rnacentral:snRNA from 1 species
GUGCUCACUUUGGCAGCACAUACGCUAAAACUGGAAUGAUACAGAGAAGAUUAGCAUGGCCCCUGUGCAAGGAUGACAUGCAAAAUUUAAAAAAAAAUUUUUUUGUU